rnacentral:rRNA from 1 species
GUGCAGCAGGCGAGAAAACUUCACAAUGUGCGAAAGCACGAUGAGGGAAUCCCAAGUGCUUGCACGUAAGUGUAAGCUGUUUCUCUGUCUAAAACGCAGAGAGAGUAAGGGCUGGGUAAGACGGGUGCCAGCCGCCGCGGUAAUACCUGCAGCUCGAGUGGUGACCGUUAUUAUUGGGCCUAAAACGUCCGUAGCCGGUUUAAUAAAUGCCUGGGUAAAUCGGACCGCUUAACGGUCCGAAUUCCGGGUAGACUGUUAAACUUGAGACCGGGAGAAGUUAGAGGUACUCCUGGGGUAGAGGUGAAAUUCUGUAAUCCUAGGGGGACCACCAGUGGCGAAGGCGUCUAACUAGAACGGGUCUGACGGUGAGGGACGAAGCCCUGGGGCGCAAACGGGAUUAGAUACCCCUGUAG